rnacentral:rRNA from 1 species
UACGAAGGGGGCUAGCGUUGUUCGGAAUUACUGGGCGUAAAGCGCACGUAGGCGGCUUUUUAAGUCAGGGGUGAAAUCCCGGGGCUCAACCCCGGAACUGCCCUUGAAACUGGAGAGCUAGAAUCUUGGAGAGGCGAGUGGAAUUCCGAGUGUAGAGGUGAAAUUCGUAGAUAUUCGGAAGAACACCAGUGGCGAAGGCGACUCGCUGGACAAGUAUUGACGCUGAGGUGCGAAAGCGUGGGGAGCAAACAGG